CGGAUAUUAUCUCCAUGUAGUGCUGGGCUGUUUUUGUCAGCCUGCAGAGAUCUAUCAGCCAAAACUAAAAUUUGGUCAUCGGACUAGCACUGCAAUGGCGAGUGCCGCUGCAGAAAACCAACAGCCUUACAGAAGAUCAUGGAAAAGGAGCACCCUAGACUAUUCACGCAGGUUCCUCUGCUGCUUGUGCCUGGAAAAGGAUCCUCUGCAAGAGCAGGAAAGGAAGAUUGAUAUAGGGUCUCUGCAUCCACACUUGGAUCAACUGGGAUCAGGUGAGAUGAAGGCCAUCCAGAUUACUCUGGAGGACCUGGGGAUAGUUAACAGCAGCUUCAGCCUACUUGACGAAGAACCUCUGACCCCAACGAAAAAUGUAACUCGCUCAAUCAGCUCUGUAUCUGCUUGUCGAAGAGCUUUAAAAAAGAAAAGACUGAAACUACUUUCUUCCUUAUCUUUAGAACCCCAAACCGAACCAUCAGUCACUCCAAACUGUGCGGUAGUUCAGGGGAAAGAAGAAGACGAUCCAUUGCUGUUUGGGAGUGGCACUGAUAGCACUCUCCUCACACCACCGAUGAUCAACUUGAUCCCACCCACUCCAUCUGAUGUUGUAGAUGAUGAUCAGUUCUUUGACAACAAUUCAGAGGAAAGUGUGGCACACAAUAGCGAUGAGGGAUGUUUGACAAGUAGUGAUCAAGAGAGUUAUGAAGAAAAAAGAGAGAUUGUAGAGGAAUCAAAAGAAGGAUCCAUGUUGGCUGUGGAUAAUUCAGACACUGACUGUAAAGUUAAACCUGAAGAUGCUCAAAGAGAUCACAAAAAUAAAGCAGGGCUGCUUAUCAAUGAAGAAAAAGACAAGGAAAAUGCCAACUUUUCAAGUAGCAUCCACAAGGUGACUCAGGUCCUUGACUACCUCCUCAAAAAUGACCUGAGCAAAGGAGGUUGGAGUAACUCUGACAUACUGAAGGCUGAUCUUUCCCUACUUCCUCCUUACAUGGACACAAUGGCCACAUUUACCCACCAAAGGCGGCCAUUAACCCGCUCUUGCAGUCUUGGGGACACACCAAGUCAAAGUGCUACCUUCCAUGGUUUAGCCAAGACCACCGACCAUGUGGGGGGGUCGCCUCGACGACGCAUAACUGUUGCGUCAUAUGUGCCUCACUCUCAGGACCAGAAUGGAAACUUCUGGAACAAGGAUGUAGACGGGCAUGAGUCCAAAUCUCUCAGGGAGCUGAACACUGAAGACGUCUGCCAAUGGUUCACUAGCAUUGGACUGCAGAAAUGUCUCCCUUUCAUCAGAGGUAUUCCUACUUGUGGCUCCACCCCCCAGUGAUGUCCGUGUGCUUGAGGCCAAACUUUCAGGGGCAGAUAUUGCUUCAGUGGAAGUGGAAACUCUAGAUAUUUUACAAAUUGACACACCAGAAGAACGAGAGCAGCUGCUGUCUGCCAUAUACAAUGAGCUUCAUCCUCCCAGCACCGCGUCACAGAAGCUAGACUCUUUGCUCGAGUCCUUGGGAUCAAACAAUGUGGAGACAUUCACAGCAACGCUUGUGUCAAUGACAAAGUCAAAGUCUUUGCCUCAUGUGAGCUGUUUAAGUAUGAACCGGCGAUCUGUCAAGCUCAGGUGGAUCCCUAUAUGUAUUUUACAAAUAUCAAUAUUUUUUCUAAA
ensembl:lncRNA